rnacentral:rRNA from 1 species
AACGAACGUUGGCGGCGUGGAUUAGGCAUGCAAGUCGAGCGAAUCCCCGCAAGGGGGGAAGCGGCGAAAGGGGCAGUAAGGCGUGGGUAACCUACCCCGGGGACUGGUAUAGCCCUUCGAGAGAAGGGGUAAUCCCGGGCGACGUGUCGAGGGGGCAUCUCCUUGCCACCAAAUGAAUUUCGCCCCGGGAGGGCCCACGUGAUAUUAGCUAGUUGGUAGGGUAACGGCCUACCAAGGCGAAGAUGUCUAGCGGGUGUGAGAGCACGACCCGCGCCACUGGCACUGAGACACUGGCCAGACACCUACGGGUGGCUG